CAGUAGCCGCGGUAACACGUAGGGUGCAAGCGUUAAUCGGAAUUACUGGGCGUAAAGCGUGCGCAGGCGGUUCGUUAAGACAGAUGUGAAAUCCCCGGGCUUAACCUGGGAACUGCAUUUGUGACUGGCGGGCUAGAGUAUGGCAGAGGGGGGUAGAAUUCCACGUGUAGCAGUGAAAUGCGUAGAGAUGUGGAGGAAUACCGAUGGCGAAGGCAGCCCCCUGGGCCAAUACUGACGCUCAUGCACGAAAGCGUGGGGAGCAAACAGGAUUAGAGACCCGAGUAGUCCCUGUCUCUUAUAC
rnacentral:rRNA from 1 species